CCUACGGGUGGCAGCAGUAGGGAAUUUUGCGCAAUGGGCGAAAGCCUGACGCAGCAACGCCGCGGGAUUGAUUAAGCCCUUCGGGGUGUAAAGAUCUGUCAGUGGGGACGCAACUUGACGGUACCCACAGAGGAAGCACCGGCUAACUCCGUGCCAGCAGCUGCGGUAAUACGGAGGGUGCAAGCGUUGUCCGGAAUCAUUGGGCGUAAAGAGUUCGUAGGUGGCAUAUUAAGUCUGGUGUUAAAUGCAGAAGCUCAACUUCUGUUCGGCACUGGAUACUGGUAAGCUUGAAUGCGGUAGAGGUAAAGGGAAUUCCUGGUGUAGCGGUGAAAUGCGUAGAUAUCAGGAGGAAUACCGUUAGCGAAGGCGGCAAUCUGGCUGGAAACUGACGCUGAGGUGCGAAAGCGUGGGUAGCAAACAGGAUUAGAUACCCUUGUAGUC
rnacentral:rRNA from 1 species